AUUCCCUUUUAUCAUCAUCAAGUUUUUUCUCCUUGGGGUUAUUCGGCUGUCGUCCGUCAACACAAUGUACUCCAAACUCCGUGGUGUGGCAGCUGGCCCGACAGCUGAAACGAUGGAAAAUGAUAUUUCGAAGUGCACAUCAUCCCUCGACACUUCGAUUCUGCUUCCUCUACCGACUGAAUUAGAAAGUGUGCACGACGUGACUAUAGACAAAAUUGCCGCGAAGCUUCUGAAAGACAAUUUCAUUUUGACCGCUUUGGAAUUGCAUGCCGAGCUCUUGGAAAGCGGCAGGGAACUACCCAGGCUGCGGGACUAUUUUUCUAACCCAGGCAACUUUGAAAAGCAUAGCCACUCGACUUUUGAUGCUUCUCCGGUGCUGCCAAGAACAUCGAGUGUCCAGACAUUUGAUUCUUUGGAUUUCACAAGGUAUUCAGAUGACGGAGAGAAACAGCUGGAUGAAAGAGUUGCUGUUCUAGAAUUUGAGCUUAGGAAGGCUCGUGAAACCAUCAAAAACCUGCGAGCAAACCUAACUGUUGUUACAGAGUCUGACCCAAACACUCCUGACAAUGGCAGUGAGCACACAACUGUUUCAGAGGAACCUUUGCGCCCUCAUGAGCGGCGAGCUGUCAACUUCCUUCUGAACGAGUACUUACUAAAGCAUGAUUACAAGCUGACAUCCAUCACUUUUUCAGAUGAGAACGAAGUCCAGGACUUUGAGGACUGGGAUGACGUAGGUCUGAACAUUCCCAAGCCACCUGAUCUGGUGCACCUAUACCGUAGUUACAACAAGCACUCCCGUCUUUGUUGCGAUGUUGUAGAAUGUCAAGUGCAGACUGACUUUGAAGAUUCAAAUGGGCAGCGAGACCUCGCAAACAACUUUGAAGCUCUUGCAGCUGAAAAGGCCGCCCUGGAAGCUGAACUUAACCUAUUAAAGGUGCAUAUGGAGAAGACCAACCAAGAAAAUAUUUUGCUAACAGCAGAGCUGGACAAAGUUUUGUUUUCUCGAGCAGAAUUGUCCUUCAAGCCCAAUUUGCCUUUGGAGGUGGCAGUUGACACAUUGUCUGAUGCUGUAGAACCCUGUACCCCGAGCCCAAGUGUGGCUGUAGUCUCACCAUGCAAGGAGCUGCCAGAGGAAAAGGACGACUCAGCAAAAAAGCACAUGCCACAGGCACUUACAAUAUGUGUGGCUGAUCAAGUGUGUGAUGAAAAGACAUGUUAUAUGGCUGUUGAUGGCAGUGAGAGUGUCAGCAAACCAGAAGAAUCCGAAGUCCUUAAGAGUACAAGAAAGACGUGUCCAGCCUUUCUUGAGGCCCUUAUGAAUGUAUGCCGACCUCAUUGUGAGCUGUCUGACUCACGCCUUGCGAAAGAUGUGACAUCGGUGGCUUCAUCAGGCGAGGAGGUGGUUCUGAUGCUCGCUCGGUGUCUUCCACAUAUUGUGCCUAAUGUCCUUCUGGCAAAACGAGAGGAGCUGGUUCCCCUGCUCUUGGCAGCCAUCAAUUUGCAUCCGGAUGCUGCUCAACGUGAUGUCCUUCUGAAUCUGUUAUUCAACCUAACGAAGCGCCCUGAUGAUGCACAGCGCAGAGUCAUAUUGGCUGGGCUCCUGUCUGUGGCUGAGUGCUUGGGCCCUGAAAGAGUUGAAGCUGAGCUUCUGCCACAGUGCUGGGAGCAAAUAAACCAUAAGUACUUGGAAAGAAGACUUCUGGUGGCAGAGUCUUGUGGCUAUUUGGCAUCGCAAGUAGCCCCUGAGAUUCGUAGCUCCCUGCUGCUGUCCAUGCUACAACAGAUGCUCAAGGAAGAAAAAGAGGACAUGAUCCGUGAAAGGGUUGCACAUAGUUUAGCUGUGCUGCUAGCCUACGUGGAUGACCAAGAUAAGUUUUCUCAGGCAGUUGACCUGGCAUUGCUUGUAGUAGCUGAUGCACAUGCAAGCAUGGCUGAGGUGGCACAGACUGUUUUACUUCCUUCUGUUGCAUCGUGGGCACUAGAAAUAGGCCACCUGGAGGACACGCUGCUUUCCACACUGAUUAAACUUCUUGAAGAUCAUAUAAAGGCCUUGGCACUGCGAUCAGCUGAUGGCCCAACUGCACUUACACAAGCUGAAGAACAACACUCGGUGCAUCUCAUUAAGGCACUUGGAGCCUUGCUGCCAUUCCUUUUUGUUCAUGUUGUCGAAACUGGCCCCUACAUGAGCCGUUUGAACCUCACAGACAGCUCCUUGAAGAAUUUGUUGGAAGAUGGUAGACUGCCGCAACCACAAAGCCCACUGUUUGACCCAUUAAAAAUCUCAAAUUAUACUUUAAAAAUGCCAGCUGUGGUAGCAGCAUUUGAUGAGCACAUUGGACAAGAAUGGUAUAAGACAUGGCCAGCUUUUGACUGGCUUCUCAGCAAGUUCAUUCCCUUCCUGACAGGCAUAGCUACUUGCACAGACCCAUCAAGCCGUGCCACUGUGCAUGCACUGUCUGGGCUCCUUCUCAGUGUCUGCCGACUUUUUGGUCACACCUUUACUCAGUGCAAAGUAAAGCCUGUCUUUUCUGCAUUGAUUCCUCUCAAUGAGGCCUUCACUCAAGAAGCGAAGAACAUGUUGACAAGUGCUGUGGGACCUGUAUAUGCAUCUGGCAUCCUGGCAGCUUUUUCUUGUGAGGCUGAUUGCAAGGAGCUGGUGGCCUUCUUGAAGAAUCUUCUGUUUAUUGUGUCACUUUGUGAACUUCCUUUGUCAAGUGUGGAAAGCAUCUUCAUUGAGCUUAGCAUGAACAAAAAUUACCAUGAAGUUCUGUUGUCGGUGCUUUGGGAAGGAGUGGUCCAUAACACUGCACUUGUCCGAAGCAAUGCAGGCCGCCUUUUUGAGCUUCUAGUUGGGACUGUGUCCGAUCCAUUGCUGAAAAGUCAUGUGACUCCAGCGCUUGUGACUCUUGCAAGUGACCCUGAAAUUUCUGUGCGCAUAGGAACAGUGAGACCAUUCGGAAUGAUUUUGGCAACAAGCAGUCAAAAAGAUUUGCUUGAUAAAGCAUUCAUGCAGCUGCAGACUUUUCUUGAAGACCCUCUGCACAGAGAUGACCGCUCAAUGCAAGCUGAGUUUAUCCAUAUGUUUGCGUCAUUAGGCCCAAAUACAGAGCCACGCUUUAGAGACGAAUUCAUCUUACCUCACCUUGCAAUCUUGGCUAUGAGAAACAAUCAGAAUACAAAUGACUCAUCAAGGGUGGAAAUCAUGGAGUUGCUUCUUGAAGCCUACAGUGCAUUGUCUUGCACCUACAUUUCAGAACAUGCAAUCUCGGAUGCAUUCUUACCAGGCUUAAGAUGUUUGUUGGAAGAUGCAAGGCAAGUUGCACCUUGCCAUGAGUCAGCAGUUUCAGCCAUGAUUGCUGAUUUUGAAGCCAAAUUGGACUGCUGCAGAGAAAGAACCCCAUCACUGAGCUCGCCAAUGGCAAGUAUGGAGGAGAUGAAGCGGAAGAUGACGAAAAUCUUCACUGUGCCUCCUACUAAUGCUCGUUCAAACCUUCCAAACAUCUUUCAGUUGCGAAAGAAAUGAGCAGAGGCAUUGCUAGUCAAGGCCUACAGUGGGGGCAGUGUCACAGAGGCCUCAGGAGUCCUCCGAGCCUGUGCACAGUGGCCCCGCGGUGACCCCUCCCGCCCCCGUGGUGGAUGCAGCAGGUGCUGCUCCAUCCUCUUCGAAGGGCCUCCAUCCUCUUCGAAAGGUCCACCCGUUCUGCAGGGCCCUAAAAUCAACCGAACCCUAAGGCUUGAGGUGAGCCCAAGCUGGAACUUUUAAACAGUCUACAGUGUAAAAGGUACUGGAAGGACACCAGUCUGCAUCGCAUCUAGUCAUGACCAGAGGAAAGAUGUGCUUUAUGUUUUUACAUAAUGCUAUACAAUGGACCCAUUAGGAUAUGUUGGAUGGGUCAAAUGAUAUACAGUGUCGCAUAAAACAGUAAUCUUUGUUUUUAAGGCGGUUUCUGCCAUGGAUUUUAUCUUUUAUGCUGAAGAGAGAUUUUGUACAUACAAUACUACAUAUUUUUGGAUGGCUUUUAUUGAAGAAAGGUCCUUUGAGCUUGUGAUUUUUUCAUGAUGCAAGUCCAUAAGGACUCAUUGUAAAUACACUUGUGUAAACUGAAGUCUGUGGGGUCUAAGCCACAAGAAUAAAUUGCAUAUCUUACAAAGCAA